AGCAAGCCGGAGUCCCAUGCAGUGUGCUUUGCUAUGUCUGGGGACCUGAUGUAAGUGACAGGAAAUAAGUGACAUGUCUAACAGGAUUUUGAAUCCCGAAACACGGCUCUUCAUGCGGUUGCUAUAGUUACUUCUCUAUGUGAUGCUCUCAUUUUUGCUGGGGUAACAAUGGAUCCACUGUUAGCCAUUGAGGUGUUGAACCCCCACCACCAUCCUGAAACCUGAGGGACAUUUUAAUAGGUUUAAAAUAGCAUUCUUGCCUUUUAAUCAUUUCAGAAGCUCCUAGAACAUGAACAGAUCCUGUACUAUGGCAGCUUUACAAAUAUUGCUAUUUGCUCCUUGUGUAAGACAUAGGAACUCUCUAAAGAGUCAUAAUGGCGAAGAGGAUGGUGACAUCCAAGGACAACCACAGGGCCUCACUCUGAAGACUGGUGAGAAUCAGACUCCUCCUCCUGGUUCUGCAGCUCCCAGCAGAGUUCUGGAAGCUGAUUAAAGAGAAGAUCAGAAAUAAUAGAUCACUCGCUCUGGGAGACGCCAGCUGCCAUGUUGUCAGGAGAGGCUCAUGUGAAGAGGAACUACUGCUUCCUGAUAAAAACUACAUGGAGAGCUUGGAAGCGAAUUCUCCUGCCCCCGCCAAGCCUUCAGCUGACUGCAGCCCCAGCUGACAUCCAGACCACAGGGUCUACUACCUACCUCAUCUGCUUCCAAAUCCUUGACCCACAGAAACUGUGAGAUAAAAAAUGUUUGCUGUUUUA